GGUUGUAGCUCAGUGGUAGAGCACCUGCCUAGCAUGUGUGAGGCACUGGGUUUGAUUCUCAGCACCA
rnacentral:tRNA from 1 species